rnacentral:rRNA from 1 species
GCAGCCGCGGUAAUACGUAGGUGGCAAGCGUUGUCCGGAAUUAUUGGGCGUAAAGCGCGCGCAGGUGGUUCCUUAAGUCUGAUGUGAAAGCCCACGGCUCAACCGUGGAAGGUCAUUGGAAACUGGGGAACUUGAGUGCAGAAGAGGAAAGUGGAAUUCCAAGUGUAGCGGUGAAAUGCGUAGAUAUUUGGAGGAACACCAGUGGCGAAGGCGACUUUCUGGUCUGUAACUGACACUGAGGCGCGAAAGCGUGGGGAGCAAACAGGAUUAGAUACCCC